rnacentral:rRNA from 1 species
UACGUAGGUGGCAAGCGUUGUCCGGAAUUAUUGGGCGUAAAGCGCGCGCAGGUGGUUUCUUAAGUCUGAUGUGAAAGCCCACGGCUCAACCGUGGAGGGUCAUUGGAAACUGGGGAACUUGAGUGCAGAAGAGGAAAGUGGAAUUCCAAGUGUAGCGGUGAAAUGCGUAGAGAUUUGGAGGAACACCAGUGGCGAAGGCGACUUUCUGGUCUGUAACUGACACUGAGGCGCGGAAAGCGUGGGGAGCGAACAGG